UACGGAGGGGGCUAGCGUUGUUCGGAAUUACUGGGCGUAAAGCGCACGUAGGCGGAUCGUUAAGUUAGGGGUGAAAUCCCAGGGCUCAACCCUGGAACUGCCUCUAAUACUGGCGGUCUUGAGUUCGAGAGAGGUGAGUGGAAUUCCGAGUGUAGAGGUGAAAUUCGUAGAUAUUCGGAGGAACACCAGUGGCGAAGGCGACUCACUGGCUCGAUACUGACGCUGAGGUGCGAAAGCAUGGGGAGCAAACAGG
rnacentral:rRNA from 1 species